GCUCCGGUGGGCUCAGUGGUUAGAGCAUCCGCCUCGGAUGCGAGAGGGCGCGGGUUCGAACCCUUGUCAGAGUCA